rnacentral:tRNA from 1 species
UGUAGCUUAGAUAAAGCACCCCGCUUACACCGAGAAGACAUCUGCGAAACCCAGAUCAUUUUGA